rnacentral:rRNA from 1 species
AUUCACUAGUGAUUCUUGGUCAUUUAGAGGAAGUAAAAGUCGUAACAAGGUUUCCGUAGGUGAACCUGCGGAAGGAUCAUUAACGAAUUUCGAGGUUGUGCUGGUUCUCACAAGUGCACGCCUCUUACAAUUCCAUUCACACCCACGUGCACUCUAAGAGACGUAUUUCCCCCGUUUACGUGCCGAAAGGCUUGGGACUUCGUCUGUUUAACACACUCUUCUGUAUCAGAAUGUAUGCGGCGGAGACGCCAAAACGAAAAUAUAACUUUCAACAACGGAUCUCUUGGUUCUCGCAUCGAUGAAGAACGCAGCGAAAUGCGAUAAGUAAUGUGAAUUGCAGAAUUCAGUGAAUCAUCGAAUCUUUGAACGCACCUUGCACUCCUUGGUAUUCCGAGGAGUAUGCCUGUUCGAGUGUCAUGAAACUCUCAAACCGCAUCUUCAUUGAUGUCGGGCUUGGAUUUGGACGUUGCUGGACAUGAGUUCGGCUCGUCUUGAACGCAUUAGCUGGCGAUUUCGACUUCAGUUAAACCGUGUGAUAAUACAUCAACGCGGGCAGCCGUAAGGCGCUGGGUCGUCUCCCGAAGGCUUCCAAUCGUCCUGUCCGGGACUGUCCUUACGGGCAUUUCAUUUCACAUCUGGCCUCGAAUCAGGUAGGACUACCCGCUGAACUUAAGCAUAUCAAUAAGCGGAGGAAAU